rnacentral:rRNA from 1 species
GGCUCAGGAUGAACGCUAGCGGCAGGCCUAACACAUGCAAGUCGGGGGGUAGAGUUCUUCGGGACUUGAGACCGGCGCACGGGUNCGUAACGCGUAUGCAAUCUACCUUUGCAGAGGGAUAGCCCAGAGAAAUUUGGAUUAAUACCUCAUAGUAUAGCAGUUUCGCAUGAAACCACUAUUAAAGUCACAACGGUGAAAGAUGAGCAUGCGUCCCAUUAGCUAGUUGGUAAGGUAACGGCUUACCAAGGCAACGAUGGGUAGGGGUCCUGAGAGGGAGAUCCCCCACACUGGUACUGAGACACGGACCAGACUCCUACGGGAGGCAGCAGUGAGGAAUAUUGGACAAUGGGCGCAAGCCUGAUCCAGCCAUGCCGCGUGCAGGAUGACGGUCCUAUGGAUUGUAAACUGCUUUUAUACAGGAAGAAACACUACUUCGUGAAGUAGCUUGACGGUACUGUAAGAAUAAGGAUCGGCUAACUCCGUG